rnacentral:lncRNA from 1 species
UCUUCACUUCUGCUGUUUUCCCCUUUUCCUUCCGAUCUGUCUUUUCCGGUGGACGCUGACAACGGUCCCUUUUUGAGACAGGAAUACUCGCAAAAACACACUUGUGCAGUGAUUCGUGUGCUGCGAGCCAGCUGGUCGGCGGAAUUGCCCGUAGGAAACCGAGAGGAGUAAGUGUGAAUAGGGCUGUUAAAGCUUGUCGUAAUAUAUACUUGGCAGGAUUCCGUCAGCUCUUGUGAGCAGGACUACAGUUUGCCCGUUGCGGCGAAUCAGAGCAAGUGGUGCAUCUGUGCCAGUGGUCUCCCGGCAGUCUCGCCAUGCAGGGACGCGGCGCGGCUCGUUGGCAAGAUCUCGUCACCACAAUGUGAAAUAUUGAUUUCGGAGCUGGUGACUGCACGCACGCCAGCUGACUUCGCUUCGAAAUCAGAUGGACCCUCGGUAUUCACAGCAUUAGGACGAAAUGUUAGGCGGUUAAAGCUCAUCACACUGGCGGUGAGUCACGCAGCCGUUGCAAGUGGGCAUAUUGCGCUCAGACUAUUGAAUCUCCUCUACCGGCACAUGCUGCAGCCGAGCAAGUCCUACCUCCUGGCCUUCCCAUUCGAGAGCGCGGUAUCUGCAUCUCGACUGAGUUGAUUCAGCACAUCUGGAGGCAUAUAAAACUGAUUUACGUCAAAUGGACGCCGUCACGUGUGACUCACUUGCUAAUCGACUUCGAAGGAGAGUCUUCUCUCCAAAGAGGCUUUCUGGAAAAACUGUGUCUUUCAUAAUCGGGGUCUGCAGCAACUUGAGAGGAAAAUGUUCGUUGGAACUCGAGACCUGUCAACCCCGUACCGUGUGAGACUUGCUGUUGCUCUGAACUCUGGCGGAACGCCUCAGUGUUGCUGUAGGUCUUCGUCUUGGUCUUCCGUUCCUCAUCUUUAUCGCUCCAGAAGAGUCUCCCUCGUUGCAAAGGGACUUCGUGGCGUCCACAUGAGAAGACGUUUACGUAAAGACAAACUAGAACGGCAACCAUACCUGCUGUAAGGCCUGCUUUCUUCCUGUGUUGAAUGGUUCGGUUGUCCGGGCCCUUUUCACCGGCGGUGUUGUCGCCGAAUAAUUUUUCCUUUUCCCUCUGUAGUGUAUAGAUGUGCAAGAUGGUGCCAUCGCCUCAGUGCCGGUGGUGUUAUGCCGUGUCUGGUUAUUGACUUCUGACUUGGACUGCGCCGUGGCGAGUCCACCCGUCGAUUGCUUAACCGACUUGCUCUUGUAUACUUCACAGCUUAUAUUCUGUCUUGGACCAUUAGUGGCCCAAGGGCGUUUAUCCACUGAAAGAGCAUGAGCUGCUGGAAGGGGCUCCCAAACAACUAUGUAUCGUACUCACCCGGAACUUUUACUCUCGCCACGUUAUCCUCAUAGUGCCGAGUGGAGGCCGCAUACAUCUUGGCGUCUGUAGUGUGGACGCCGUCCACCCGGAGCUCAGGCUUAGUAGAUCUGUUUGCCCGAGCGGUGCCACAGGCCUUCGCUUUGGUAGCAAGAUCUUUACCCUUGGGUCGACCUUUCCCGUGGAGCUCCCUACAAUAAUGCCAGACAAUCGCGCCUCUUUAACCGCUACCGGGUAAACGAGGGGCCGAACCUUGUAAUUGGAGCUUGAUUGCGAAAUCCCGACUUUAUAUGUUGACGAUUUUUUACGCAGCACUUCACUAGUAACAUGACCUUAUUCACUGAUGACAGAUACGUGCUAGCGCCUCAUCAAACGUUUAUGCAGGCGCGCCUACGUUGUUGCGCAUUGAGUUGCGUUUGACAGCCGCGACUGAUUCGAUAAGGAGACGCCUGAAUUGUUCUUCUUUUUUGGAGCUCGGAGCCUACUGGAUCCUCCUGUGUUGAUCCAUCGCCCAGUGACUUUGGGGCGAAGCCAGUGAUUGAAGUGGUCAAGCCCUUCUGUUGUCGACGAGCAUUUACUGGGUUAGUGUCCCGGAAGAAAACAUCCUGCUUACCUGGCGAUCUGCAAUCAAGGACAGUGGUGUGGCAGGAGGAUGAUCGCCCGUAAUGUUUGAGAUUUUCUGUUUCUCAGUAUCCCGAGGCGGCGACCGGAUGGUUGCGGCCGUCAUUGAGAAAUGCAUCCCACUUGCUGGCGCUUCGCUACUGAGGGGCAGAGACUCCACAGGGGAACGUGUUUCUCCGCAGUUGCGUUGUCGUUGUGCUGAAACGGAUGACGUUUGGGGGACGACUGAUUCAUGAUUUCGUUCGCGGAUUUGAGUAGGAGGAUGAUAGCAAGGCAUAUGUGACGCUGCAGUGCAGGCUUCCGAGCCCUCCUCAACCCCGCGAGAUUGUACCCCACAUUGCUCUGUCUCAAGGGACGGACGGCGAUCUAGUGGGGUCCUUCUUUCUUCUUCGCAUGCCAGUAAACCCGGCGGAUGGAUCAGUUGUUCAGAGGAAGGAGUAUUUUGUUCACAUAAUAUGCUGAUAACGAGACUCUCAUCCAAUCCUUUUGAAGCGAGAGCCUGGACGCCCGGUGCAGUCUCUGGCUUAAACUCGGCAACUAAGGGAAGGAGAAUAUCAAUAGGUAACUGGCUUAGGGAGUGUCGGAGCUCUUCCUCAAUGCUGCCGUGUUUUGGCAUGGCAGGUCCUGAUCCAUGGACUGGCAUUCCUGUACCACUCCCCCACAUGUGAGCAGAGUUCGUUGCUGGCCACGAACCACUUUGUUCACCUCCCAUGCUGUUAGGAUUCUGAUGUCUUGGUCGUGCCUCAAAGAUGGUCGUUUCACUUCGUCGGACACGAUACUCAGGCUCAAUACACGAAACACUAGAGGGUCUGUUUCGUCCCUCUACACACUGAUAGAAAUGGGACCUAGCGCUGGCAGCAGGUUGAGGCUGCUCCCGACGGGGCAAGAGACAUGUUCCUGCCCGUAGCUGUUGCUUAUUGGCGUAUCCAUGGGCGUUGAUGGCAACGUCGGCGUCGCAGCGUUUAAGUCUCUGAGAGUUAGAGUAUUUUCUAUCUCCGCCUUUUGCUGCGCAAUGCCGAUCCGGUGUCGAACCCGUUUCGCCAGUGGCCCCCGUGAGGCGAUUUGCCGAUUUGUCCUCCAGCACAUCUGUCCUAUUGACGAGGCAAGUUUUUGUUUUAAAAUGCUUUUGCAAUGCCGUCUUUUGCCUGAACGAUUUUGUACCGGGAGGACAAAAGGGGCCUAUGGGGUAUUUUGUUGGGGUACAUCAUAAGGGAGAGCCACAAACACCCUUACAUUCCCACAAUGGUGGACUCGGUGAGUCUCCGACAUCUCCAUUCUUGAGAUUUCCAUUCAACAUCGUACUGCGGGAGGGAAGAUCGCCGCUGGCGUAUGCAGCCUGAUCUCCACCGCCAUACCUGGAGUAGUAUCCAUCGAGCUCUGCACUAAGUAAAGGCUUUUGAUGGGGGGUCCUACCUGCGGCAGCAAGGUUCGAGUACAUCUGGAGUCUUGGUUUCGCCGAGCCCGGAGGACGUCUGUGCACACUUUGUUUUUCCCCAAACUGGAACCUGGUCCAACUUUUAGCUUUACCUGACUUCUCGGCGGUAAGGAUUUCACAGGCCCGUUUUCCUGAGUUCGUGCACCGACCUUCUUGGCGUGCGCCGCACCAACAGGCGCCUUCUGCUGCCUCCGAGUUGUUUUGGAUGUUACUUUGGAUGGCGGUAGAAGCUUGGUGGACAAAUUGAUGGACAGUUGUUCUUUCUGCCGUGGUGGUUGACGCUCGCAUGCUCUUUGCGAUGGUCGCUCAUCUGCUUCAUCAUAGGGAAUAGAUGGUGACGUGACCCGCCCAUUCCGGGACGUCUGGUAGCAUGGACCUCGCAUGCUAGACUGAGACUGGUUAAAGGCAACGGGCGACCUGUUUCGGUCAGGGGAAACAUUAGGAAAAGGCAGAUGAUUCAUCAUUUCUUCCACAUGCUUCAACCCUGUGGUCGGGAUCUGAGAAUGCUGGGACUGUCCCGGAGUUGGAGACAUACCAACAUGCUGCCUGCUGAGCUUGGGAACAUCGUGCCUUCUCUGACUCUGUCGAAAUGGAGCCCGUUGCCAAUCCAAAGGCAGGGCAAGUGGGCUGCCGAUCCCGGUAGUCACUUGUGAAUCGUAUAUUCGGGGUCGUGGAGAAGGCCAACCCAACUGCGAGAAUUGUGUAUAUCCAUCCAAGUUGUAGUCUACUUCUCCGCAUGACGGUAUAUCAUCCGCAGAACGCGAAGACAUUCGAGACUGUAAAAGUUGCGAAUAACCGCAAGAUUGCGGCAUGACAUUCGUGCAAGCAUUGCCGGUCGCAGGCUUAGUAGGCGAGUUUCGGUUCAUAUAGUUUGUGCACGUACGGAUGUUGUCUCACCUGUCGGAACUGGUCUUCGAGCUCGUCGUCCAGUGGAGCACUUUGGUCAUACUCAAAGGCUGGCUGGCUUUGCAAAUGCCAUAACUUUCGACUGAGUUCGUGCAAGUUUCGGGGGUGAGCCAUUUUUAGGAAAGCAAGAACAUGUGCACUAAAACGAUUGCCGCUGCAACACCAAAACCACAAACAGUUAGAAUACU